GUCUGUUGAAUUGGGAAGCUGUGGCAU
rnacentral:piRNA from 1 species